rnacentral:rRNA from 1 species
GAUGAACGCUGGCGGCGUGCCUAAUACAUGCAAGUCGAGCGAACGGACGAGAAGCUUGCUUCUCUGAUGUUAGCGGCGGACGGGUGAGUAACACGUGGAUAACCUACCUACAAGACUGGGAUAACUUCGGGAAACCGGAGCUAAUACCGGAUAAUAUUUUGAACCGCAUGGUUCAAAAGUGAAAGACGGUCUUGCUGUCACUUAUAGAUGGAUCCGCGCUGCAUUAGCUAGUUGGUAAGGUAACGGCUUACCAAGGCAACGAUGCAUAGCCGACCUGAGAGGGUGAUCGGCCACACUGGAACUGAGACACGGUCCAGACUCCUACGGGAGGCAGCAGUAGGGAAUCUUCCGCAAUGGGCGAAAGCCUGACGGAGCAACGCCGCGUGAGUGAUGAAGGUCUUCGGAUCGUAAAACUCUGUUAUUAGGGAAGAACAUAUGUGUAAGUAACUGUGCACAUCUUGACGGUACCUAAUCAGAAAGCCACGGCUAACUACGUGCCAGCAGCCGCGGUAAUACGUAGGUGGCAAGCGUUAUCCGGAAUUAUUGGGCGUAAAGCGCGCGUAGGCGGUUUUUUAAGUCUGAUGUGAAAGCCCACGGCUCAACCGUGGAGGGUCAUUGGAAACUGGAAAACUUGAGUGCAGAAGAGGAAAGUGGAAUUCCAUGUGUAGCGGUGAAAUGCGCAGAGAUAUGGAGGAACACCAGUGGCGAAGGCGACUUUCUGGUCUGUAACUGACGCUGAUGUGCGAAAGCGUGGGGAUCAAACAGGAUUAGAUACCCUGGUAGUCCACGCCGUAAACGAUGAGUGCUAAGUGUUAGGGGGUUUCCGCCCCUUAGUGCUGCAGCUAACGCAUUAAGCACUCCGCCUGGGGAGUACGACCGCAAGGUUGAAACUCAAAGGAAUUGACGGGGACCCGCACAAGCGGUGGAGCAUGUGGUUUAAUUCGAAGCAACGCGAAGAACCUUACCAAAUCUUGACAUCCUUUGACAACUCUAGAGAUAGAGCCUUCCCCUUCGGGGGACAAAGUGACAGGUGGUGCAUGGUUGUCGUCAGCUCGUGUCGUGAGAUGUUGGGUUAAGUCCCGCAACGAGCGCAACCCUUAAGCUUAGUUGCCAUCAUUAAGUUGGGCACUCUAAGUUGACUGCCGGUGACAAACCGGAGGAAGGUGGGGAUGACGUCAAAUCAUCAUGCCCCUUAUGAUUUGGGCUACACACGUGCUACAAUGGACAAUACAAAGGGCAGCGAAACCGCGAGGUCAAGCAAAUCCCAUAAAGUUGUUCUCAGUUCGGAUUGUAGUCUGCAACUCGACUACAUGAAGCUGGAAUCGCUAGUAAUCGUAGAUCAGCAUGCUACGGUGAAUACGUUCCCGGGUCU